AUCACAGUAACAGCAGUAUGAUGCAUGACAGAAUGAGAGUCAUCAUCUUAAUAAUAACCCUCAACACUCUGCUGUUUUCAGGUUCUUCUCUCAGUAAUCAAGUCCGCCAGACUCCACUUUACAUUCAAGCAAAUCCAGGAAACUCAGCCGUUAUCAACUGCUCUCACAGCAUUCAGAACUACAACGUUAUGCUUUGGUACAAGAGAUCAGAGGACAGGCAGCUCCAGCUCCUAGGUUAUAAGUUCCCUGGGAGCAGUUCUAUUGAACCUGGAGUGAAAGUGGAGAUUGGAGGGAAUGCAGAUAAAGACCAGAACUGCACUCUGACAAUAAAAAAGCUCAAUGUGAGCAGCAGUGCUGUUUACUUCUGUGCUGCUAGUUUCCACAGUGAUGCAUAUCAAUGCUCCUCGGCUGACAGGAAAGGGGGUAUACGAGAGGUGGAGAGACAUGCGGCAAAGGACCACAGGUCAGAUUCAAACUCGGGUCAGCCACGUCGAGGACUAAGGCCUCCGUCCAUGGGUCGUGCGAGCUUACCACUGCGCCACCUGCACACCCUGGUCAGUGUAGCCAUGUGA